rnacentral:pre_miRNA from 1 species
UUAGCUCAUAUUUGUAUGGAAUGGAUCGUUUGCCUACGUUUGCCGUUAGGGGCGCUGUUCCAACUGCAUACAAAAUUGGGUUA